CCCCCUUCGGGCGAUGGGGCCCGCCCGACCCAACCGCCGGCACCGACCGCCGGCUGACGGUCCCUGCCACUAC
rnacentral:ncRNA from 17 species